rnacentral:RNase_P_RNA from 1 species
GGUGCAAGUCGUCUUGUCGUCCCGAUGUAUAUCGGGGAGGAAAGUCCGGGCAACAUAGAGCGCCAUACUUCCUAACGGGAAGGAGGCUGACUGGUGACGGUCAGUUUACAGCUAGUGCAACAGAGAAUAUACCGCCUUUCGGCUUCGGGGCCUGCCCUGAUACCGAUAGCUAUCGGCACGAAGGGUAAGGGUGAAAAGGUGGAGUAAGAGCCCACCGCUCUGACAGUGAUGUCAGGGGCAUGGCAAACCUUAUGGGUUGAAAGAUCAAAUAGGUUCCGCGUCGGAUUAAGUUUCGAGAAAAGUUGCUCGCUUUUAUGCGGAACGGGUAGAUCGAUGGACCCCGAUUGUGAAGUCGGGGCUAGAUAAAUGACAAGAAACUGAUUCUGGAAACAGAUGAAGAAACAGGACCCGGCUUAUAGACUUGCACUUUUU